rnacentral:rRNA from 1 species
GACGAACGCUGGCGGCGGGCUUAACACAUGCAAGUCGAACGGAAAGGCCCUGCUUUUGGGGGGUGCUCGAGUGGGGAACGGGGGAGUAACAAGUGAGUAACCUGGCCUUGACUUUGGGAUAAAUUCAGGAAACUGGGGCUAAUACCGGAUAGGAGCUCCUGCUGCAUGGUGGGGGGUGGAAAGGUUCGGCGGUUGGGGAUGGACUCGCGGCUUAUCAGCUUGUUGGUGGGGUAGUGGCUUACCAAGGCUUUGACGGGUAGCCGGCCUGAGAGGGUGACCGGCCACAUUGGGACUGAGAUACGGCCCAGACUCCUACGGGAGGCAGCAGUGGGGAAUAUUGCACAAUGGGCGGAAGCCUGAUGCAGCAACGCCGCGUGCGGGAUGACGGCCUUCGGGUUGUAAACCGCUUUCGCCUGUGACGAAGCGUGAGUGACGGUAAUGGGUAAAGAAGCACCGGCUAACUACGUG